rnacentral:rRNA from 1 species
UACGUAGGGACCAAGCGUUGUUCGGAUUUACUGGGCGUAAAGGGCGCGUAGGCGGCUCGGUAAGUAGGGGGUGAAAUCCUGCGGCUUAACCGCAGGGCUGCCUUCUAAACUGUCGAGCUCGAGCACGGUAGAGGCAGAUGGAAUUCCUGGUGUAGCGGUGAAAUGCGCAGAUAUCAGGAGGAACACCGGUGGCGAAGGCGGGUCUCUGGGCCGAUACUGACGCUGAGGAGCGAAAGCGUGGGGAGCGAACAGG